AUGUUGACGGUAGGAGCCUCCCAUGCAGUAGCAAAGCCCCACUGUGAGAUGACAAAGCCAGACCAUGAAGUCACAAGGCCAGGCAUUCAUGUGCAGUGUGGGGCAGGUGCCACAGGCAUCACUCCAGCAGCUGCAGGAGCAGCAGCAGUGUCAGCAGAGCCUGCACUGACAGUGCCAGCAGUGCCAGUGCCUGCAGUACCUGUAGUGCCUGCAGUGACAGUGAUGGUGACAACAGUGAGCAGUGACAGUGCCAGCAGUGGCAGUUCCAGCAGUACCAGCUGUGCCAGCAGCAGCAGUGACAGCAUGGUGCAGGCGCGGUGGGCCCUGGCCCUCAUCCUCCUCCUGGUGGCCCUGCCAGCCAGGGGUGUCGGGGCUGCUCCGUGGCGACCAUGGGCAGUGGCUCUGGAGCGUGAGCCUGUGGAUAAGAAGGCACCUCAGGAAGACCAUCAGGCAGUGCCAGUCCCCGGGGAAAACACCGGGGCCGUUCAGCCAACAGGAGUGUCAGGUCCAGAGUAUCAAGAUGGAAGGGGACAAUCUUCCCAGGACACAUCCAAAGUGCUACAUGAAAUCCUUGGACAGCUGAAGACAAUAGCACGAGGUGUGAACAGCCUCAGCCUCAACAGCGCCGUGGAUGGCAGAAGAUUCACCAGCGCUGUGGUGGGCAAGGCAGACCCAAACCUUGUGGAAGGCAGGACAGACCCAAUUGCUGUGGUGGGCAGGGCAGAUCCAAAUGCUGUUGAUGGCAGGACAGACCCAAACACUGUGGAUGGCAGGACAGAUCCAAACGCUGUGGUGGGCAGGGCAGACCCAAACUCUGUGGGUGCUGAUACCUUCCAGACGCACUGCAUAGAAGGCAUCGUGGCUGUCCUGGGCUCAAUUCUGCUGGGGAUGGCAUUGUAUUGUGUAUUCCACUUGUGGAGGAAGAGGAGAAAGCGCCUCGCAGCUUCGAGAGCCGGCUCUGAGCGCCCCAACAGCCGGGCAGAAGCCAGCAGAAUAUUUGCAGGAGCGUUUAAAUAAAGAUCAGCAGCACAAUCGACUGGAUUGUACUGGCAGCAAACCCAG
rnacentral:lncRNA from 1 species